AUACGGAGGAUCCGAGCGUUAUCCGGAUUUAUUGGGUUUAAAGGGAGCGUAGGCGGACGCUUAAGUCAGUUGUGAAAGUUUGCGGCUCAACCGUAAAAUUGCAGUUGAUACUGGGUGUCUUGAGUACAGUAGAGGCAGGCGGAAUUCGUGGGGUAUCGGGGGAAUGCUUAGAUAUCACGAAGAACUCCGAUUGCGAAGGCAGCCUGCUGGACUGUAACUGACGCUGAUGCUCGAAAGUGUGGGUAUCAAACAGGAUUAGAUACCCUGGUAGUCCACACAGUAAACGAUGAAUACUCGCUGUUUGCGAUAUACAGUAAGCGGCCAAGCGAAAGCGUUAAGUAUUCCACCUGGGGAGUACGCCGGCAACGGUGAAACUCAAAGGAAUUGACGGGG
rnacentral:rRNA from 1 species